rnacentral:snRNA from 1 species
GGGUUGAGUCAUUCGGCGGGUCUGGCUAGGCCAGUGAUCCUUGCUCCCUCAUGGCUCAUGUGUAUUCCUGUGGAAGCUGCAUACUCAGAGAAAGAGGAGGACCACCUCGGACAGAGGAGGACCAUUCCCUCAGUCAAAGGAUCAAAGGUUUCACUCUCCCCUGCUGGAACCUCUUAUACGCAUUCAAGAACUGGAUAGGGAAGGAGGAGAGAGAAGAGGGCAUGAAUAAGAUAUAAGAUGUGUAAUGUACAAGCAUCAAAUAUUCAU